AUGAUGAACAAUAUUUUAGAAACCUUGAAUUUUGUUGAAGUCACAGAGGAAGUUGAUGAAGCUAGCCUGAGCUACACGAUGCUCCUUGUGCAAAAUAAAUGCACACCAGAGAAGCAACUCCUUGUAGAGAUGAGGAAGAAGAGCACAAGCUUGCUUAAGAUGGAAGAGAAUUGGUGGAAGAAUCCAAGGUUGAAGAUGAGAGAAAAGAGUUAA